rnacentral:lncRNA from 1 species
CCUGGCCCUGCUCCUCCCACAGGUGGCCCUGGUGAAGGCGCCCUUGGAGUCCCGGGGCCAGGAGGAGGAGGAGGAGGAGCUGCAGGGCAGCCUGCUGGCCACCCAGGGCACGGAUCAGAGGGAGCCCCUCGUCCAGCCCCCCACGGGCCCCUCCGAGGUCCAGCACAUCACCCUCCCCUUCUGCAGCGCCCCCGAGUACAGCGUGGUCUCCGCCAGCGGGGAGGUUGCCGGCACUCUGUACGGCCAGGAGGUGGUGCAGGUCCCCGAAGGUGCAGCCGCCCAGACUGUCAUCCAGGACUCCCUGGAGGAGGCUCCCGCAGUGCUAGAGGGGCCCCAGCAGCCCCCACCACCUUCCGGGGAGGCCAAUGGGGAUCCCCUGCCGAGCGCCCAGUGGCCGGUGGUGCGCUGCCUGGCCUGGCAGGCCCAGGAGCAGCCGGAGGCCGGCGGGAUCUCCCUGGUCCCGGCAGAGCAGCCCCCCCCGGGCAGGAGGCCCCCGCCGGGCCAGGCCCCCCCGGCCAAGAAGUUCUCCUGCAAGAUCUGCAGCGCCUCCUUUGCGGGCCGGGCGGAGAUGGAGAGCCACAAGCGGGCCCACACCGGGCCCAGCGGCUUCAAGUGCCCCGACUGCCCCUUCACGGCUCCCGCCUGGCCAGAGGUCCGGAGCCACCUGGGGCCGCACGCCCGCCCCCGGCCCCCCAAGUGCCAGCACUGCAGCUUUGCCUCCAAGAACAAGAAAGACCUCCGCAGGCACACGCUGACCCACACCAACGAGAAGCCCUUCGCCUGCCCCAUCUGCGGCCAGAGGUCAGCCUGGGGGGAGGGAAGGGGGCGUCUUCCUGGGGGGGGGGCGGGGUCCGGCCCUGGCAGCUGGGUGAGGGCAGCUCCCCCCCCCCCCCCCCCCCCCGGCCUGCAGGUUCAACCGGAAGGGCCACCUCAAGUUCCACACGCAGAGGCUGCAUAGCUCCGAGGGGAGGACGGCCUCCGAGCCCCUCCCCAGCGCCCCCCAGGCCCUCAUCCUGAACAGCCACGAGGAGACCCUGGCCACGCUGCAGAGUAAGCGGGAGGGAGGGAGGGAGGGGAGG